AGCAGCCGCGGUAAUUCCAGCUCCAAUAGCGUAUAUUAAAGUUGUUGCAGUUAAAAAGCUCGUAGUUGAAUUUCGGGGUUAGUAGAUUGGUCAUGCCUCUGGUAUGCACUGGUCUUACUGAUUCCUCCUUCCUGAUGAACCGUAAUGCCAUUAAUUUGGUGUUGCGGGGAAACUGGACUGUUACUUUGAAAAAGUUAGAGUGUUUAAAGCAGGCUAACGCUUGAAUACAUUAGCAUGGAAUAAUGAAAUAGGACGUUCGAUCUUAUUUUGUUGGUUUCUAGGAUUGACGUAAUGAUUAAUAGGGAUAGUUGGGGGCAUUAGUAUUCAAUUGUCAGAGGUGAAAUUCUUGGAUUUAUUGAAGACUAACUACUGCGAAAGCAUUUGCCAAGGAUGUUUUCAUUAAUCAAGAACGAAAGUUAGGGGAUCGAAGACGAUCAGAUACCGUCGUAGUCUUAACCAUAAACUAUGCCGACUAGGGAUCGGAUGAUGUUAAUUUUAAUGA
rnacentral:rRNA from 1 species